rnacentral:rRNA from 1 species
CCUACGGGUGGCAGCAGUGGGGAAUAUUGGACAAUGGGGGCAACCCUGAUCCAGCCAUGCCGCGUGUGUGAAGAAGGCCCUCGGGUUGUAAAGCACUUUCAGUGAGGAAGAACGCCUGGUGGUUAAUACCCAUCAGGAAAGACAUCACUCACAGAAGAAGCACCGGCUAACUCCGUGCCAGCAGCCGCGGUAAUACGGAGGGUGCGAGCGUUAAUCGGAAUUACUGGGCGUAAAGCGCGCGUAGGUGGCUUGAUAAGCCGGUUGUGAAAGCCCCGGGCUCAACCUGGGAACGGCAUCCGGAACUGUCAAGCUAGAGUGCAGGAGAGGAAGGUAGAAUUCCCGGUGUAGCGGUGAAAUGCGUAGAGAUCGGGAGGAAUACCAGUGGCGAAGGCGGCCUUCUGGACUGACACUGACACUGAGGUGCGAAAGCGUGGGUAGCAAACAGGAUAGAUACCCUUGUAGUC